GGGUGACGUGAUGAUAACAAAGAGUCACUGGCAGGAGAUUCUGUUUGCUGGAGGGGAAACAGGAUGGUUCAUUUUGAACAUUGUUUGAAAGCAUGCCU